rnacentral:rRNA from 1 species
UACGUAGGGUGCGAGCGUUGUCCGGAAUUACUGGGCGUAAAGAGCUCGUAGGUGGUUUGUCGCGUUGUUCGUGAAAACUCACAGCUCAACUGUGGGCGUGCGGGCGAUACGGGCAGACUGGAGUACUGCAGGGGAGACUUGAAUUCCUGGUGUAGCGGUGGAAUGCGCAGAUAUCAGGAGGAACACCGGUGGCGAAGGCGGGUCUCUGGGCAGUAACUGACGCUGAGGCGCGAAAGCUAGGGGAGCGAACAGG